rnacentral:lncRNA from 1 species
GACGUAUACAUGAUUUUUAUGGAUUGUCGUUAAAAUUACAUCAUAGGUUGGAUAUGGCACUAGCAAUAUAACGACAAAUAUGUGUUCCAUGUGCGAAAUAACAAUUUUGCACACUUUCUUUAUUUAAACCGGCUGGACACCUUAUUGGAAAGUAUUAAACGAGUAGAAUUCCACGUGAGCCACAUGGCUGCGACAUUGUCACGUCAUCAACAACGUUUUACUAGCGUCGACGUGGUUAAGAGGGUUAGAGACAACAUGAAACUUCGCUCACGGCAUGCACCGGCGAAUGCAUGAGGAAGACAACGUCAUUUUCCUACAAAGCUUUGUCUGCAAUUUUGUUUUAAUCUAAAGGUAGUCUCGUAAGAGCUGAUUGAUUUAAUAUAUGGCUUAGGCCUUCUCGUAAAAAAAACUCAUAAUUCAUGCACAUCGGUAACAGUAAUUAGAUUAUGGUGUAAAAAAAAUCCGGAGGUACACAAAAAUGAACUUUGAAAUGAAAACAAUAAGCC